AUUGAACGCUGGCGGCAUGCCUUACACAUGCAAGUCGAACGGCAGCACGGGAGCAAUCCUGGUGGCGAGUGGCGAACGGGAGAGUAAUAUAUCGGAACGUGCCCAGUCGUGGGGGAUAACGUAGCGAAAGCUACGCUAAUACCGCAUACGAUCUAUGGAUGAAAGCGGGGGAUCGCAAGACCUCGCGCGAUUGGAGCGGCCGAUAUCAGAUUAGGUAGUUGGUGAGGUAAAGGCUCACCAAGCCGACGAUCUGUAGCUGGUCUGAGAGGACGACCAGCCGCACUGGGACUGAGACACGGCCCAGACUCCUACGGGAGGCAGCAGUGGGGAAGUUUGGACAAUGGGCGCAAGCCUGAUCCAGCAAUGCCGCGUGCAGGAUGAAGGCCUUCGGGUUGUAAACUGCUUUUGUACGGAACGAAACGGCGAGCUCUAAUACAGUUUGCUAAUGACGGUACCGUAAGAAUAAGCACCGGCUAACUACGUGCCAGCAGCCGCGGUAA
rnacentral:rRNA from 1 species